UACGUAGGGUCCAAGCGUUAUCCGGAAUCACUGGGCGUAAAGCGUGCGUAGGUGGCGCGUUAAGUGAGAUGUUAAAUCGUGUGGCUCAACCAUAUCGAUGCAUCUCAUACUGGCGUGCUAGAGGACGGCAGAGGCAAGUGGAAUUUGUAGUGUAGCAGUGAAAUGCGUAGAUAUUACAAGGAACACCAAUGGCGAAGGCAGCUUGCUGGGCUACGACUGACACUGAGGUACGAAAGCGUGGGGAGCGAACAGG
rnacentral:rRNA from 1 species